CCAAAGGCUCUUUUAAGAGCCACUUACACUUUCUAAAGGCCUGUA
rfam:Myotis lucifugus cont2.52522, whole genome shotgun sequence.